rnacentral:rRNA from 1 species
GGGAACGUACCCUUCGGUUCGGAAUAACUCAGGGAAACUUGAGCUAAUACCGGAUACGCCCUUUUGGGGAAAGGUUUACUGCCGAAAGAUCGGCCCGCGUCUGAUUAACUUGUUGGUGGGGUAACGGCCUACCAAGGCGACGAUCAGUAGCUGGUCUGAGAGGAUGAUCAGCCACACUGGGACUGAGACACGGCCCAGACUCCUACGGGAGGCAGCAGUGGGGAAUAUUGGACAAUGGGCGCAAGCCUGAUCCAGCCAUGCCGCGUGAGUGAUGAAGGCCUUAGGGUUGUAAAGCUCUUUUGUCCGGGACGAUAAUGACGGUACCGGAAGAAUAAGCCCCGGCUAACUUCGUGCCAGCAGCCGCGGUAAUACGAAGGGGGCUAGCGUUGCUCGGAAUCACUGGGCGUAAAGGGCGCGUAGGCGGCCGAUUAAGUCGGGGGUGAAAGCCUGUGGCUCAACCACAGAAUUGCCUUCGAUACUGGUUGGCUUGAGACCGGAAGAGGACAGCGGAACUGCGAGU